rnacentral:rRNA from 1 species
AGAGUUUGAUCCUGGCUCAGGAUGAACGCUGGCGGCGUGCCUAAUACAUGCAAGUCGAACGCGAGCACUUGUGCUCGAGUGGCGAACGGGUGAGUAAUACAUAAGUAACCUGCCCUAGACAGGGGGAUAACUAUUGGAAACGAUAGCUAAGACCGCAUAGGUACGGACACUGCAUGGUGACCGUAUUAAAAGUGCCUCAAAGCACUGGUAGAGGAUGGACUUAUGGCGCAUUAGCUGGUUGGCGGGGUAACGGCCCACCAAGGCGACGAUGCGUAGCCGACCUGAGAGGGUGACCGGCCACACUGGGACUGAGACACGGCCCAGACUCCUACGGGAGGCAGCAGUAGGGAAUUUUCGGCAAUGGGGGAAACCCUGACCGAGCAACGCCGCGUGAAGGAAGAAGGUUUUCGGAUUGUAAACUUCUGUUAUAAAGGAAGAACGGCGGCUACAGGAAAUGGUAGCCGAGUGACGGUACUUUAUUAGAAAGCCACGGCUAACUACGUGCCAGCAGCCGCGGUAAUACGUAGGUGGCAAGCGUUAUCCGGAAUUAUUGGGCGUAAAGAGGGAGCAGGCGGCAGCAAGGGUCUGUGGUGAAAGCCUGAAGCUUAACUUCAGUAAGCCAUAGAAACCAGGCAGCUAGAGUGCAGGAGAGGAUCGUGGAAUUCCAUGUGUAGCGGUGAAAUGCGUAGAUAUAUGGAGGAACACCAGUGGCGAAGGCGACGAUCUGGCCUGCAACUGACGCUCAGUCCCGAAAGCGUGGGGAGCAAAUAGGAUUAGAUACCCUAGUAGUCCACGCCGUAAACGAUGAG